rnacentral:lncRNA from 1 species
AUUAUGGUCUUCUGAUGGUGCUGCUGGCUUGGUGGGAUCCCUUCAGGAGGUUACAAUCCACGAGAAACAGAAGGAAAACUGGCAGUUAAGGAAAGGAGUAAGUGAAAUUGGAGAAGAUGUGGACUAUGAUGAGGAACUCUAUGUUGCUGGAAAUAUGGUGAUAUGGAGCAAAGGAAGUAAAAGCCAGGCAUUGGCAGUUUAUAAAGCAUUUACAGUUGACAGUCCUGUUCAGCAGG